UGGACAUGUCAGUGGAGAUAAGCACCUCCUUUGAUCUUCUUUUUUUUUUUCAUUACAUUCUUUACAGAAAGUGCUGAAUAUCACAGAACACAAAGAAAAGAGAAAGAGAAACUGACAGAGCCUAUAAAUGUUGCACGAAGGUUCAGAUACAUACAGUUCUGCUGGCUUUUUAAGGAGCAGUGUUUCCUAUAUCCUAAGGCAGAUGGACAUGUUGGGAUGGAGGUAUAAUGAGAGAAAAGUGGUUACUUUCAAGACAGCACGCAAUUCCUUUUGGGAGAAAAUUGAAAAUAGAAGAAUGUAAUUUGGUGAUAUUUUUGGUGAGCAGAUGAGCUCCUCUGAGUGGAGCCUCUUAGUCUAGGUUGAGAAAAAUAUCAGUGAAACUAUUCUGCAUAUGGAAAGAACAGCUACUUGGGAGUUGGAAGAUGAUGGAGUAGUCUUACCAACAGAAAGUGGAAGAAUUGUCAGACGGUGUUGAGUAAGUAUUUGAGGUUGGUGAUUCCGCUUUGCACAAUGGAAACAGCUCUCUGCUUUUGUUUAGCCUUGCUUGGUGGGGGCAGUGGCAGGGUCCAUCAAAGGCUUCAGGUUUGCCAGAGAAUUCCAAGGCAGGGAAAGACAUGGAAGUGUGGCCAUUACAGCACUGAUACACAGAGAAAAAGGUUGGAAUCCAUGGGAUGAAAGUCUUGAAAAACUUUCCAUGAGGGAUCCUUGAGAAAAUAAAAUAGAAGAAGCACUCAUCCAUUCAACAAAUAGUUAUUAGCAUCAAUCAUGUGCCAAAUUAUCUUUUACAUCUGGAGAAACCACACUGCAGAAAAAAGGAAAAGAAAACCCCUUGUGUUUACAGAGCUUAUGGUCUAGCUAAAAAAAAAAAAAAAGCAACAACCAAGGUAACUGAAUAAAAUAUGUGUUAGGUGAUGAUUAAUGCUAUGGGGGCAGGAUGAGAGAGAAGGAAGGAGUGGAAAAGUGAUAAAGGAAGAGAGGCAGUAAAUUUUACAGAGGGUGGCCAGAGAAUGACUGAGAUGGUAACUUCCAAGUGAAGGCACAGCCAUGAGGAUACCUCAGAAAGCAGCAAAAGGGCAAAGCAAAAGUCCUGAGGUAGGAGAAUGGCUGAUAUACUUGAGGAAUAGCAAAGAGGUUAUACUGUCUGGAAGAGAGUAAAUGAGGGGUAGAAUACUAAGAAAUGAAAUCAGAGUGAUAAUGUGAGAGUUGCAACUUUUGUAGGACCUUGCCAAACAAUGCUCUUUAAUGUGCAGGUGAAUCCUGGGCACCUUAUUAAAAUGUAUAUUCUGGUUCGGUAGGUCUUGGUUGGAGCCUGAGGUUCUGAAUUUUACAAGCUAACAGGUGAUGGACCAUACUUUGAAUAGUAAGAUUGUAAAGCAUAGAAAGGACUUUGUUGUUGAAUGGAAAGCUAUUAGAUACUUUGAAGCAGAGGCUAGAGAUGAUCUGACUAUGCAUUUCAAAGAUCAUACUGUCCAUUCUUAAUGAUAGACUAAGAUUGAUUAAGAUGUUAUUGAAAAAAAUUAGAUGAGAGAUGAUGGUGACUUAGGAUAAUGGAGUCAGUUAGAAACCAGAAAUGACAGAAUUUGCUAAAAGAACAAAUUUGAGGAGUGAAAGAAAUG
rnacentral:lncRNA from 1 species